rnacentral:lncRNA from 1 species
CUACUAAUGUUGUGGUUAUUGAUAUUCAAUCAAUUUGAUUUUUUACAUGGACGACAUUCUUAACGGGUCCUGUAAUUUGAACAGUUUCAGGAUUGGCCACAGCUCAUGAGUUUUACUGUAAAGCUCAAAAUGUUGAACAUUAGAUAGUGAAGCCUGGUCCUUCAUAAAUGUUAUGGAUAUUGAAUCAGCAUAACCGCCGUGGACAGAAUAUUUUAAAAGUGGAUCCCACCAAGACAUCUUGUAAAAUUUUAUCUAUUCAUGCGAUUUCUAAGUACCCAUGCCUUAUUGCGGCCAACCACAAGAUAGAGUAUGUCACUGAAGGCUACCGUCAUGGUUGUUGCGGAGAGGAAUAGGGAAACCAAACCAAUUAUCAACCUCUUGGGGAGAGCAUGGAGAAAAUCACCUCUCUUAACAAUAAAAGUUUCUUCAUUAUUGUUUGGCAACUCUCUUAAAUCUUUUUUUUUUGAAUAAGAUAAACAAUACGUUUACGACACACAAUAAACCAUUGAAUGAAUUAGAAACUGCAGUGUGGGCAAUACUCUAUCCAUUCUGAACGAAAUUUGAAAACUUGUUUAACCUAAAAUUUAGGCUAUAAUUCUAUGGAUGAAACAAACCCACACAAAAAUAACAGAUGUGGCUGUAAUCACAAGGAGAAUAGAAAGAAAUAAUUGUAUGUAUUACUUUAUACCAUUGUACCUCACGCUGCAUCUGCAGAACUGCACCUGGAGCACGAUUGAGUUUCUUUGAAGGUGUGAUUCGUUCAGCCAAGUGGAGAGUAUAUUUUCUCUAGAUUCAUCGAUGACAUUCAUCCCAAGUUUUUUAAGGCCCCGAAUCUGAUAUACGAGGUUGAAAACAUUUUUAUGUCGGUGUAUUAUUGCAUGUUGAAAUAUGCUAUAACAUUCCGUGUUUGUCUCCCCAAUUAAGGUGAGAAAUAAAUCCACAAUCUCUUCUACAACCUCGUGAAUCCCAGAUCAUGUUGCUGUAACAAGUGCAUUAGAGAACUGUGAAUAGUAAGCGAUUAUGUUAUUUGCAGGCCAGAUUUCUUCACACAAGCAUCAGUUUUUGCUCCCGGAUGUGUUUGAUCUGAGGCACUGCAUUUGAAAAUUAAAGUCCUGGAUGUUGUUAGCGUGAAUCAAUGUCUAUGCAUUUAGUUGACUGGUUCUUCUCGUCCAUAAGGACCAUUACCUGAAAGAAAAGUGUCAGCAUUAAUCACAGAGAUAUUUAAUUAGGUCUUGCUAGGGUAGAAAGGUUGUAACUAUUAAUCACCCUCAAAAGGUUGUAGUUCGAAAAACUCAUGCUAACAACAACAUUUAGGAAAAGGUUAGUUCUGAACAGUUAUUCCCAUCUAAAGUGGCCAGGCCAGCUUUAAUAUUUUCUGAAAGUAUAAGAAGAUAACAAUUGUCUUGAAAUGACGUGGCUAAUUUGGCACUACAUUAUGUGUGCAAAUGGAAGUUGAAUAACAUUCAACUGAUAUUGAAUUGCUGCUAAUCUUACAUGUGUUUUUCCUUGAAGAUGUUCCAUCUGCAAUUAGAGAACAGCUCCGAAGACACAUUACUAGUUUUAAUUUUUUUGACAAUAGAAAAUAUGAAAAUGUUCAUUGAUUUUUUGAACACAAGAAAGCUGUAAUACUGUACCCAUGUUCUGAAGACACAUGAAAAAAAAAUAGAAAAACAUGUUUGUGAGCUUUCAGAGGAGAGGAGUCGAUGGAGGAAGGGGGUUGUCGGUGUUGUGGGAGAAGGCGAGUGGCUGGGACACGGGGGAGGGGUGGGAAUGAAAACUAUAAACAAUUACGAAACGGAAAAUGAUAAAAAGGCGAUCGACUUGGGCUGGGCAGCAUUUACACACUUACCCUUUUUCUAUCCAACACACUCGUUUCUCUCUCUGCAACAAAGAGACUGCAAAAUUUAUAGUCAUGAAUUCUUCAUGCUUCUUAUUAAAUAAUUAUUUAAAUCUAUCAUGACAAAGCUUCAAACAGCUUCAAACCUCAAUGUUGAAAUCCAUUUACAAACCAUCCUAUCUAAAUUUGAGUUAUUUUUUUUGAAUAUCCCUUCAUUUGAAAUCGUCGUCUAUCCAAAUGGAGCCUAAACUUGCGCAAUUUUUGUUUUGAUAAAUUAAGUUGCACAGAAAAUUAAUGUGAAUGGUGUGAUGAUUCUUGUCUUCCAUCAUUUUAAAACAUAAAGACUCUUAAAGUGGAUUAAUUUUACGCACUGUACUGUUACUGUUACUGCCACUGCCAUCUGGUCAAGAAUUCUGCAAAAUAUAAUCUAAAAGUAUAGAGUUUGCUUUCCUUCUCAUGAGUAAUUUUAUUGACUAAUGAAUGAAGCAAUUUAAGGAAGUUAUAUAUUUAAGAAGUUAAAAAAAUAAUUCGGUUCGACUAUUAGCGGAAAUUUAAAACCGAAUAAGAUCUUGAAUUCAAUACUCUAUAAAAUAUAUUCUACAAAUAAUAAUGGAGUAGAAACAUAACCUUAUUAGCCAUAUGAUCAAUUGAAUGAACCCCUUA